AAAAUUGUAUAAUUAAUAAGCCAGAGUAGUAUUAGUUAGGGUCUUGAAACUCAAAAAAUUUGGCGGUAUUUUAGUCUGUUUAGAGGAACCUGUAGUAUAAUCGAUAAUCCACGAUGGACCUCACUUAAUUUUGUUUAUCAGUUUGUAUACCGCUGUUAUUUGAAGAUUUUAUAAGAAUAUUAAUUUUCAAGAUUUUUAAUUAAAAAAUAUAUCAGGUCAAGGUGCAGCUUAUGAUUAAGAAUUUAUGGGUUACAAUAAAAUUAUUUAUACGGAUAAAAAUAUGAAAUUAUUUUUUAAAGGUGGAUUUAAUAGUAAAUUUUUAAAGAUAAAAAGAUUGAUU
rnacentral:rRNA from 1 species